AGGAAUGCCUAUUGGAUCUGCAGAGGAAAUGGAAAUGAACUGUGGGGCUAGGGUCUGGUUCUAAGAAUGUGAGAACAGAAGCUACAAGGUUUCCUAAAAAUGGAUCUCAGAAGCCUAAUUAUAUUAUAAUUGCUCCUGCCAAGCAAGUUGCAAGGUCAGUCUGACUCUGAAGACUGAUGAUCAAGCUAAAGCUUCAUACAUGAUUGGCAACUAAUAUCUGUUACUGAACUGUGAACAGCAAUGAAGGAGACGCUGCCAACUGUAAACCAGCCGUACGCAAUGGAGAGGAAAAAUGACAAACACGGAGCUACUUAAAAGCAGGAGCGGCACCUCAGGAAGAAACUGACUGGGCUCCAUCGCUGCAGAACUGAUAUAUGUCACUUUCCCUUGUGUUAUGUUUCAACUACCUAGAAAAUUAUAUAAUACACAAAAAAUUCAUAUAUACAGACAAAUGUCAUUACACAGCGAUAAUUUCUUAUGUAUGCACGUUAGAUAAACUCUUGCACAUGUUUAAAAUGAGAUACAUAUGAGAUUGGUUAUUACAGUAUUGUUUGUAGAAAGCAAGUGUUUGAAAAUCAACUGAAGAAGGUAAAUUAA